UACGAAGGGGGCUAGCGUUGCUCGGAAUCACUGGGCGUAAAGCGCACGUAGGCGGCUUCUUAAGUCAGGGGUGAAAUCCUGGAGCUCAACUCCAGAACUGCCUUUGAUACUGAGAGGCUUGAGUCCGGGAGAGGUGAGUGGAACUGCGAGUGUAGAGGUGAAAUUCGUAGAUAUCUGGAGGAAUACCGGUGGCGAAGGCGGCAUCCUGGACCGACAUUGACGCUGAUGAGCGAAAGCUAGGGGAGCAAACGGG
rnacentral:rRNA from 1 species